GACGAACGCUGGCGGCGUGCUUAACACAUGCAAGUCGAACGGACAGACAGAGAGCUUGCUCUCUUGAAGUUAGUGGCGAACGGGUGAGUAACGCGUAAUCAACCUGCCCUUCAGAGGGGGAUAACAACGGGAAACCGUUGCUAAUACCGCGUACGAUUCAUGAACGGCAUCGUUUAUGAAUGAAAGGUGGCCUCUAUGUAUAAGCUAUCGCUGAAGGAGGGGAUUGCGUCUGAUUAGCUAGUUGGAGGGGUAACGGCCCACCAAGGCAAUGAUAGGGAGCCGGUCUGAGAGGACGAACGGCCACAUUGGGACUGAGACACGGCCCAAACUCCUACGGGAGGCAGCAGUGGGGAAUCUUCCGCAAUGGACGAAAGUCUGACGGAGCAACGCCGCGUGAGUGAUGAAGGUCUUCGGAUUGUAAAGCUCUGUUAAUCGGGACGAAAGAGUUCUGCGUGAAUAAUGCAGAAAAGUGACGGUACCGGAAUAGAAAGCCACGGCUAACUACGUGCCAGCAGCCGCCGUAA
rnacentral:rRNA from 1 species